rnacentral:lncRNA from 1 species
CUGUUUGUGUGUGGAGGAAUGUCAGCUUUCCCAAAAAACAGUGAGCAUCAGUGCUGUUGCUUUGUGACCAGGGAUGAAGCCAUUCCUCUGGCAUGGCCAGCUCUCAGAUGAGUAUAAAUAAGUUCAGCUGAACUUCAGUGACAAUUCUGAAGCCAUGUGGAUGCCUGCACUCAAUUUCCCACAGUCCAGUUAUGGCUUGCUCUGUUUUUAUGCCUGAUAUCUUCUUUAAAAUGAUAGUAUCCAGGUUUUUUAUUAUCAUUAUAACCCCUCAGAGUUCACUGUAUUAGAGGGAUUUUUGUUGUUUGUUUUAACACAGAAACAACUGAUUCCCCCAAUGUCUUUCCAAAGCUAUCCGUUCUUUGUGGGGACUCGAGUCCACAACGUCUAACAGGAUUCUAGCUAGGAGAUAUAAGGUAUCUUGGUAUUGAAAUUUUACAGUUUCUCCUCUGAAAGAUCACAUAUUUUGCAUAGCCUAAUUUUGUACAAAGGAAAAUAGAGAGCAAGAGCUGGAGCAAAAGACAGAGACUGAGUCUGAGACCAAGAGAGAGACAGUGACAGAGACAGAGGAGACAGACAGAGACAGAGACAGAAGAGACAGACAGAGACAGAGACAGAAGACAGAGACAGAGACAGAAGACAGAGACAGAGACAGAGACAGAGACAGAGACAGAGACAGAGACAGAGACAGACAGAGAAGAACUUACCCAGAACUCUGCAGCACCCAGCUAAUUCCCUUGGGAGAACAUGAAAGUCAACCCUGAAACAUCAACAGGACGUCUAAGGAAAAGGAAUGCAGAGCAUUGCUCCUGUUCAUGGAGAAGCAGCUGAGUGACCAGGUCUGUACCAGCUACAGACAGACUCUUCACUGAAAAAAAUAAUAACAAUAAUAAUAAUAACAAAAAAAAAAAAAAACAAGAAGAAGAAGAAGAAGAAACACUUAUCUUUCAUGCUUUUGUUGAAAUUAUACUGAAAAGCUCCUGGAGUAUCUGAGGCUGGCAUCCAUGGAAACAUAAUAUUUGCAGGCUUGAAUCAUAAGAAAACUGUAAAUGGCUAUGUGAAUUCAAAACAAAUGUUUAAUUCCUUCAAGCAGGGAAGUCACAAGAGUUAUGAUUUAACAGAUAUGAAACCAAUAAAGAUGCAUGACUAUGCA